GGAGAGCACUAGCGGGAAUGGAAUCCCGCGGCAAGCGAGGUAGGAGUCGCGCUGGCAAAUCCGCGUGACAAUCCGAAGACGUGAUGCAUACCGAACUGAAGUAGGGAAAUGUGUGAGCCAGCUGCCAAGAAAAGCCGCUAUUGUUUGUACUGUACCCGUACCGUAAACCGACACAGGUAGGUGAGGAGAGAAUCCUAAGGCCGACGGGAGAAGCAUUGUUAAGGAACUCGGCAAAGUGACUCCGUAACUUCGGGAGAAGGAGUGCCAGUGAAAGCUGGCCGCAGAGAAUUGGCCCAAGCAACUGUUUAGCAAAAACACAGGUCUAUGCAAAACCGUAAGGUGAAGUAUAUGGGCUGACGCCUGCCCGGUGCUGGAAGGUUAAGGGGAGAGGUUAGCGCAAGCGAAGCUUUGAACUUAAGCCCCAGUAAACGGCGGCCGUAACAAUAACGGUCCUAAGGUAGCGAAAUUCCUUGUCGGGUAAGUUCCGACCCGCACGAAAGGCGUAAUGAUUUGGGCACUGUCUCAACAAUGCACCCGGUGAAAUUGAAAUACCAGUGAAGAUGCUGGUUACCUGCGCCAGGACGGAAAGACCCCAUGGAGCUUUACUCCAGCUUGAUACUGGGAUUCGAUAUUGUAUGUACAGGAUAGGUGGGAGGCGAAGAAGCAUUGACGCCAGUUGAUGCGGAGCCGCUGUUGGGAUACCACCCUUGCAGUAUUGGAUUUCUAACCAGCAGCCGUGACCCGGCUGGGGGACAAUGUCAGGCGGGGAGUUUGACUGGGGCGGUCGCCUCCGAAAGGGUAUCGGAGGCGCUCAAAGGUUCCCUCAGAAUGGUUGGAAACCAUUCGAAGAGUGCAAAGGCAGAAGGGAGCUUGACUGCGACACCGACGGGUGGAGCAGGUACGAAAGUAGGACUUAGUGAUCCGGUGGUAUAAAGUGGGAUUGCCAUCGCUCAACGGAUAAAAGCUACCCUGGGAUAACAGGCUUAUCACUCCCAAGAGUUCACAUCGACGGAGUGGUUUGGCACCUCGAUGUCGGCUCAUCGCAUCCUGGGGCUGAAGUAGGUCCCAAGGGUUGGGCUGUUCGCCCAUUAAAGCGGUACGCGAGCUGGGUUCAGAACGUCGUGAGACAGUUCGGUCCCUAUCCGGCGUGGGCGUAGGAUAUUUGAGAGGAGCUGGCCUUAGUACGAGAGGACCGGGCUGGACUGACCGCUGGUGUAUCUGUUGUUCCGCCAGGAGCAUGGCAGAGUAGCCAAGUCAGGAAGGGAUAAACGCUGAAGGCAUCUAAGCGUGAAGCCCCCCUCAAGAUGAGAUAUCCCAACGCAAGUUGUAAGACCCCUUGAAGACGACAAGGUAGAUAGGGCAGAGGUGGAAGUGCAGUAAUGCAUGGAGCUGACUGUUACUAAUCGGUCGAGGGCAUAACC
rnacentral:rRNA from 1 species